UACGUAGGGGGCGAGCGUUGUCCGGAUUUAUUGGGCGUAAAGAGCUCGUAGGCGGCUUGGCAAGUCGGGUGUGAAACCUCCAGGCUCAACCUGGAGACGCCACUCGAUACUGCUAUGGCUAGAGUCCGGUAGGGGACCACGGAAUUCCUGGUGUAGCGGUGAAAUGCGCAGAUAUCAGGAGGAACACCGGUGGCGAAGGCGGUGGUCUGGGCCGGCACUGACGCUGAGGAGCGAAAGCGUGGGUAGCAAA
rnacentral:rRNA from 2 species